CGGCCAUCAAUAUCACAGCCCACAGACUCGACAGUCCCCAGAAUCUCUUUAACGGUUCCAGAGAGUUAUCUGGCUAAAGAUCAUUGCCGCAUCUGUCCAGCAAUGUGGACAAUCUCAUCAAAAGUCUAACUUGCCUGGAGGCAAGGCUUCAGGGUCAAUAAGGAGAGCUGAUUGCAGGACUAUGCAUCACCAUCUGAUUACCUGGGUGUGCUUCAUGCUCUCGUGUGUGUGUGACAUUGUCAUGGAUGCAAUGUUCUCCUCAGAACAUGGAAUUCAACCUGCUGUCCUCUCUUGGUACCAAUAAUGAAGCUUUUAAAGCAUCCCUGAAAGAUAAAAAUCUCAACAUGCACUUGAACUCGAAGGUGAGAGUGCAUUUCAUUCUGUUCUCAUUUUAUGGAGCAACUCUUCUGCCAGCUCUGGAUUGGCAACUUGACUCUUUUGCAAAAGUUGGUUCUCAGGAGCUCCUACAGAGUGGAAAAAAUCCUUGAUCCCAGUCUUAAAGAUAAGAGGGAUUAGCUCCUUGAUGCUUCAUAAGAGUUAUUGUGCAAGGAUUUGCUAAAGGACCAAAGACAACUGCCAACCUCUUCGAAGGCAAUUUUCCUGCAUCAAUGUCACACAGUGGUCUGCACCAAAGAAGAUAAAUAGAUGGGCUUAGCUACAGAAAGGCAGCCUCCACGGACAGGAGGUGAAUGCAUCCUUCUUCUGCAUGUGGUGCUGAGAAUCAGGAGGGCUUGCAAACUUCACGGGACAGGUUGUCCCCCACCUCCAUCCCAGGACUUCAUCUCAAAAAUAAACAUAAAAGGCAGGAAAAUGCCUCCCUUUUCAUAUCUGACUUCUGCACUUCCAGGCUUGCCUUACAGAAGUGGACAGCCAUGGAUUCGAGAUGUGUCAAAAUUGGAAGGAGCUUUGCUUUCCAUUUGGCCCUGAAAAAGUGUUCCACAACUGGACUGCCAUAUUGAAUUAUUUUCAGCAGUAGAAAUUCUUCGAUGGCCCAUUUCAGACCAGCCUCUAAUUUGAAAGUAAUAACAUUUGGGCAAAGCUUAGAUGGACUAAGUUGCUGCCGAGGGCUUGGUGGGCUUUGAGGUAAUUGGUUUUACUCAGUUGCUGAUGCUUCACUUGGACAAAUGAGAAAUCAAACUACAGCUCAGUUUGCAGAAAAGCCCGUGUCAGCAGUUUAGUCUGACUACUAUU